rnacentral:rRNA from 1 species
UUUAUUAAUGUCGGUGGCGAGUUUUUUUCUCUUCUUAAUGUCGGUGGUGUGCUGGGCAAGAGGGGGUUUAGCUUGGGAGAGAUCUGGAGGAGGAACUGGCGGCGGCGGCGGGGGAGACGGCAACUGGUGCGGGAGGUGGUGGUGGGGAAACCAACUGGUCACGUUGGGGUAGCCCUAGAUACCGUCGCCACGAACCUAGAGCCGCAGCGGAGGGAACUAUGCGGAGACUACACGCUCCAGUAACAGCGGAGGGAGGGAAGCUGUGGUGGUGGUCUUGACCAGCUGCUACAGCCAGCGGAGGUAGAGAAGAAAUGUCAGGUAGUGCGGCUGCUCGUAUCCGGGGGUGGUACCGAAGGAGGUGCGGUUGCCGCUCGCACCACAGGGUAGAGAUAACACGACCAUGUUAUGAAAGGAGUCUAGGCAGAACCACCUUUGGGCUACGUCCACGAUAAUCACUUGCCUAACCUCUGACCUAGAUCGUCACCAACCAAACAAGCUCCUUAAGAACCACGAGUACUAAUCAUUUCCCAAAGUCGGUCCCGUUCAUUAAUAGUCGACUCUUUUCCGAUGUUCUACGAUCCUCUUCAAACUUACCUCCGUCUCUCAUGUGAUCCUUUAUCUUACCUUUUUCCUUCUCUUCCGUUACGACUUCGUGUUCUCGCUCUCCGAUCGCCUUCAAUUUCGUUAUAUGAUAUUCGUAAAACUUACUAAUCCCGGAGCACAACAACCCUUGUAAUGUUGGUACCCCUUUCGAUUAAAACCAACGAUCAAAUCGUAUCUUCGGUGACAUACGAGUAAAACGAGCACACAGCGUAGGUUUUUGUAUACAUUAAAAGGAAGACAACGUGUUGUGGGAAUAUAUACCCACAAAGAUCUUUGUAUACAUAAACCAGCAAUUAAAAUAACUUACUUCAAUUCAAAAUGCUACUCCAGGUAUACACUUAAUACUUUAUAACAGUAAACAGAACUAAAGGAUCUUUUUA